rnacentral:rRNA from 1 species
CCUGCCGGCGACCGGCGCACGGGUGAGUAACACGUAUGCAACCUGCCCUCCGCAGGGGGAUAACCCGGAGAAAUCCGGACUAAUACCGCGUGGUACACCAGUGGGGCAUCCCACGGGUGUUAAAAGGAAGCGAUUCCGGCGGAGGAUGGGCAUGCGGCGCAUUAGCUUGUUGGCGGGGUAACGGCCCACCAAGGCGACGAUGCGUAGGGGUUCUGAGAGGAAGGUCCCCCACACUGGUACUGAGACACGGACCAGACUCCUACGGAAGGCAGCAG